UUCGUGACGCCGAAAACGAGUCGCAUUGGAGCAACUUCUCCUAAAAACAAAGCUUACGCACACAAUUCUGUGGGAGCUGUGACGUUGGCGUUCUGCGGUUGAGCUGGGCUAUCUGUGGUAGAAGCGGUGUUUCAUGUUUGGAAGCAUGGUCACUGCAUGGGUUUGUUUUCGUAGCAGUGACUGAAAGCAUGGCUUUGUUUUCGUAACAUUUGUGGCGGAAAUCUUGUUCUCACUGCCAUAUGCGAUUCGGAUUGUUAUUGAGAAUCUGCUCAAAAUGCCACACAAGUGCUGUAUGCCCUAUUGUAGGGGAAACUACGACAACGGUUUAAAAGUUAGCGUCUUUUCGUUCCCGUCUGAUGAAGCAUUAAGAUUGAAACGGAUCGCUGCAGUUCAUAGGAAUGACUGGGAACCCAGUAAGCAGUUCGUUAUAUGUGAACUGCAUUUAACUGCAGACGACAUUGAGAAAAUUACCAGUGCUUACGACCCAAAACUGGCAAACUCUUUACAGCACCUUUGGACCGUCCACGUUUAAAGAAACAUGCUGUACCAUCAAAGUUGCCAGGAUGACCUACGUCUUUAUCUUCAAAACAAGCACCAGCUCGAGAAGAUCCAGAGAGUCGCGAAUGUUUGGAGAACCAAGCACUUGAGAAAGUCAUUGAGCAGAGUGUAGAAUCACAAAAAAAAAAUGAUGGAGAAGAGUUCAUUUGCUAGUUUAGAAGAUUUUAAAUCAAAA